CCUACGGGAGGCAGCAGUGAGGAAUAUUGGUCAAUGGACGAGAGUCUGAACCAGCCAAGUAGCGUGAAGGAUGACUGCCCUAUGGGUUGUAAACUUCUUUUAUAUGGGAAUAAAAUGUUCCACGUGUGGGAUUUUGUAUGUACCAUAUGAAUAAGGAUCGGCUAACUCCGUGCCAGCAGCCGCGGUAAUACGGAGGUUCCGAGCGUUAUCCGGAUUUAUUGGGUUUAAAGGGAGCGUAGGUGGAUUGUUAAGUCAGUUGUGAAAGUUUGCGGCUCAACCGUAAAAUUGCAGUUGAAACUGGCAGUCUUGAGUACAGUAGAGGUGGGCGGAAUUCGUGGUGUAGCGGUGAAAUGCUUAGAUAUCACGAAGAACUCCGAUUGCGAAGGCAGUUCACUGGACUGCAACUGACACUGAGGCUCGAAAGUGUGGGUAUCAAACAGGAUUAGAUACCCCAGUAGUC
rnacentral:rRNA from 1 species